rnacentral:rRNA from 1 species
CAUCUAGAUUAGAGUUUGAUCCUGGCUCAGGAUGAACGCUAGCGGCAGGCCUAAUACAUGCAAGUCGAACGGGGUGAUUCAGCAAUGGAUCAUUCAGUGGCGCACGGGUGCGUAACGCGUAUGCAACCUACCUUAAACUGGGGGAUAGCCUUCCGAAAGGGAGAUUAAUACCGCAUAAGAUCACACGAGGGCAUCUGAGAGUGAUUAAAGAUUUAUUGGUUUAAGAUGGGCAUGCGUGCCAUUAGCUAGUUGGUGAGGUAACGGCUCACCAAGGCUACGAUGGCUAGGGGUUCUGAGAGGAUGAUCCCCCACACUGGUACUGAGAUACGGACCAGACUCCUACGGGAGGCAGCAGUAGGGAAUAUUGGGCAAUGGACGCAAGUCUGACCCAGCCAUGCCGCGUGCAGGAUGAAGGCCUUCUGGGUUGUAAACUGCUUUUAUCUAGGAAGAAAACACCCAUGCGUGGGAAACUGACGGUACUAGAUGAAUAAGCACCGGCUAACUCCGUGCCAGCAGCCGCGGUAAUACGGAGGGUGCAAGCGUUGUCCGGAUUUAUUGGGUUUAAAGGGUGCGUAGGCGGCCCGGUAAGUCAGUGGUGAAAGCCUCCAGCUCAACUGGAGAACUGCCAUUGAUACUGCCGGGCUUGAGUACAGACGAGGUUGGCGGAAUUGAUUGUGUAGCGGUGAAAUGCAUAGAUACAAUCAAGAACUCCGAUUGCGUAGGCAGCUAACUAGGCUGUAACUGACGCUGAGGCACGAAAGCGUGGGGAGCGAACAGGAUUAGAUACCCUGGUAGUCCACGCCGUAAACGAUGAUUACUCGAUGUUGGCGAUAAACUGUCAGCGUCUUAGCGAAAGCGUUAAGUAAUCCACCUGGGGAGUACGCCCGCAAGGGUGAAACUCAAGGAAUUGACGGGGCCCGCACAGCGUGGAGCAUGUGGUUUAAUUCGAUGAUACGCGAGACUUACCU